GGACGGUCGAUGUCUACUAGCCGUUGGGGCGUUUGAGCGCUCUUAAUUGGCUGCAGCUACGCGAUAAGUACACCGCCUGGGGAGUACGGUCGCAAGACUAAAACUCAAAUGAAUUGACGGGGGCCCGCACAAGCGGUGGAACAUGUGGUUUAAUUCGAUGCAACGCGAAGAACCUUACCUGGCCUUGACAUACUAAGAACUUUCCAGAGAUGGAUUGGUGCCUUCGGGAACUUAAAUACAGGUGCUGCAUGGCUGUCGUCAGCUCGUGUCGUGAGAUGUUGGGUUAAGUCCCGCAACGAGCGCAACCCUUUUCCUUAUUUGCCAGCGGGUAAUGCCGGGAACUUUAAGUGAUACUGCCAGUGACAAACUGGAGGAAGGCGGGGACGACGUCAAGUCAUCAUGGCCCUUACGGCCAGGGCUACACACGUGCUACAAUGGUCGGUACAAAGGGUUGCUACCUCGCGAGAGGAUGCUAAUCUCAAAAAGCCGAUCGUAGUCCGGAUCGCACUCUGCAACUCGACUGCGUGAAGUCGGAAUCGCUAGUAAUCGCGGAUCAGAAUGCCGCGGUGAAUACUUUCCCGGGCCUUGUACACACCGCCCGUCACACCAUGGGAGUUUGUUGCACCAAAAGUAGGUAGUCUAACCGCAAGGAGGACGCUUACCACGGUGUGGCCGAUGACUGGGGUGAAUCAAAAGGGGGGAAACAACAAA
rnacentral:rRNA from 1 species